CUGUUCUGUGUAUGGCACUGGUAGAAUUCACUGUGAACAGUCUCGGUCAGUGAAUUACCGAAGGGCCAUAAACAGAGCAGAG
ensembl:miRNA